ensembl:lncRNA
CUCAGUGUGAUUCUCCACCGCCCACGAAUUGGGAAAUCUGAAACAUCAGACGGGCUCAAAUCAACAGCAUCAUCGAAAUGCCCAAACAUACAAACACACCUCCGUCUGAAAAGGAUUUUGAGCGUUUACUGAACCCAUUGACUCCAUUUGUGAGUGCUCAGCACUUCUGAAAAUCAGGCAAGAAGCUUUUAAAGAUUAAACAAUAGGCCGACUCCAGCAGGAAAUAAAAUCAUUUAAAUUUUGAAGAGAGACACAUAAAAAGGGGACGUGACAUUCGAGAGAUAUUUUAUUAUGUUAGACAGCAAAUUCAUAGGAAAUGCUUUUUCUGUGAAGUGAUUUAUGGUGCUGAGGGACUCAUGGCCACAGAGACAAGGCUUUAAAAGUUUCAGGCACAGACUGGAUGACAGAACUAUCUUUGUUUAACUGUAAUUGCUAAUAGCGUAUCUGCAAGGGUUGCUUAACCUCAGGCUUUGGGGUCUAAUCUAUACUCUGGUUUCCAGGUCAAGAUGAAGCCUAACGUGGUGGCUGGUUAUCUCACAUCAGCUUAAUGCAAGCUCCUUCUCACUGCCUGCCCUGAGCACACCAUCAAGCAUUGGUGCUCAGACACGUCAGGAGGAGGUACUGUGCAAACGCCCUGCAAAGGGAUUCUGCAGGUAGAAGACAAGAGACAAUGAGACGUACAAGGGCAGCAAUAAUGGGCUACUUAGGUCAAAGUUUUCUUCCUUGAUACUACGAUGCAGCCCCAAAGUCUCAUUCUACACAGACCCCAUCCCACACACCCAAAUCUCAGACUCAUCAGAAUGCAGAUGACCACAGCUUGCUGCAGUGCUGCACUCAGCCUUCUCCUGCAUUAUUUAUGGUUAUUCUCUUUGGGAAAGAAAAUAAACAACAACAACAAACAACAAAAAACAACAAAUAGUUUACACGCUUUUAAAACUCAUAAAUAUAACAAACCCAAGGCAAUUUGGCAAACCUGCCUUAUGGCUGGUGGCCCACCUUGGGCCUGCUCAUGUGGUCGUGCUGACAUGUCUUUCUACCUCCAAGGAAUCUGUCACUUGGAGCCAAUCUAUCACAGUGACACACCGCUCAGAACACUUCUUUCUCUUUAUUCAUCCAUUACUUCACUUCCUGCCAUCCAUCUCCCUUGAGAUUUCUUUUCCUUAUUUUUAAUACCUGUGCCAAGUUGUAUCGCUGCCAUCUAUUUACCCACUGUGAUCAUCAGACUAAAACCAGAAAGAGACUGAAGCCAUCGGGCCAAAAUCUGAUUACCUGCAUCUCUUUUUAUUCACGUAUCAUUGAUGGUAUCUGGAGAACUGAACGUGCACUGAGUUUGAAUGAAUACAUUUCACAUAUGAGUGAGUUAAACAGAGAAUUCUGCUUCACAGGUACUGGGGGGAGGGGAGGGGGAAUGACGGUAUUAGCUUAGAUUUCCCAAAAAGCUCUAGAAAAAAACCCUGAGAUUUUUUUAUCUAUCUAUCUAUCUAUCUAUCUAUCUAUCCAUCCGUCCAUCCAUCCGUCCAUCCAUCCAUAUAUAUUCUGGAAAUGUUCUGUUUAUUCUCUGGGGAUUGUGACCUUGGGGUGAACCCCACGGAGACCCCACAUUUUCAAGAUGUUCUUUGUUAUCACAUGUUUUAAGAUUACUUUACAGGUCCACGGAAGAAAAGCUUCUCAUACAACCAUUUGUUUCUCUAAGAACUUCAGUUCUAAAUGAAACAUCAAAUAUCGUGGGAGCUGGUAACCCGAAACCCAACAGUUUGUAUCAAGAAACUGCUUGAUACAACAGUGAGUGCUCUGAAAGCAGGCAUUCAUUUCCAGAAGUGCCAUCAGCUGGCCACGUAUUGAUACGUCCCCAGAACUCAUGAAGUUUGCAGACAUGCAUCCUUAGACAGGCACUACUGAAUUAGAGCAUUUUCCCUCUUUUCUCAGAAAUGCACGGAUGGAAUUUCCAUAAUGUAUUGCAGAUAACACACAAUUCCACGUAAAGCCUGAAUAAAUACAAUCAGUGUUCCUUGAAUGAAUGUUGAUAAGGAGCAGGGCAGGAGAGCGGCUGACAGGCUGCCAUGCUGGGCCAGAGCCCAUCUGCACCCACCCACGGGGUAGGACAGCGUAUGUGCGAGAUGUCCUCUGGCUGUGGAGGGACAUCCCAAAGGAAAAGCUGGAGAGCCCAUUCCUUAGGCUACACAGACGUGAAUUUACAGUGGUGGCAAAAAAGGAAUGAAGCAAACAAACAAAAAGCACAGUUUUCUUCAAACUUGAAAGUGCUGAGAGCUGAUGCUGUCGCGGUGAGCUGUGCUGGUGGGGGUUUGGCACAAGAAGGGCAACUUGGAGCAGGUAAUGGCUGGGUGCCCCCAGAGCCGCCUACGCCUGCUCCAGCCCCAUGCCCAUCCCCUGUGCCCACAAACGAUUUCUUUGUGUCUGUGGUCUGAGGAAAUGAGCCAGCUGAGUUAGCAACUUCUUUGCUGGCUGUUUCUCAGUGACUGCAGCAUAAAAAGCACAGGAGAAAGGAGGGAGCACCUAGCUGUGUUGCUGUUCAGUGCUGAUGCUAAAUGCCAUCAGGCUAAAGCUGGCUCCAUGAACAUGGAAACCCAUCCAAAGUCUCAUGCCACCCAAACUAAAGGCUUCUCCCAUCUUUAUGCAGUAACUUCACCCUGAGAGAAAACACCGCUUCUCCUGAUUGCAUCUUUGUCGUCUUCUGCGAAUAACUGAUUGCCCGAGAUAGAAGGGGAAAUGAGGGUGACAGCCUGCUUGCUGGUCAGACAGUCUCUAAUGGAGGCCACAAAGAUGGCGAUCUGGCGCACACACGGUGUGUGAUGAGCAGCUGAGCUCCCUUUGUUUGUUCAGCCUGGAGCAGAGACUGAGGGGAGGCCCAGCAAUGGCUGCAGCUCCUCAUGGGGCA